CUAAUCAGAAAUCCAGAUCUGCUCCAUACCAAUCAUCCAAGGUCCAAAUCCAAUUUUCUUCUUCUUCUUCUUCUUCUUCUUCUUGGGAACACGACUUCAUCACCGCUCUAAGUAACAAUGGCCUUUACGCCGUCGUCUCUCCUCCCAAAAAUCUUUGUGGUUAUAAGAAGCCUAAUCUUCUUCUAAAACCAUCUUCUUCGACGCAUCGUCGCCUUCAGGUCAUAACUUCUUACGACAAUGGAGUUCUGGGGUAAACAUCUCCUAUUUCCCACACAGAUCUAAAAGCAAGGUUGGUCUUUAGUUUCUCUUACUUUCGGUAAAACUCUGCGGAUGAAAUCUUACUCUCAUAGGUCUCGUCAGCAACAGAGUUUACUGAUAAAGAAUCAGAAAAGCAUGACGAAUCUGAUGAUGGAGAACAGGAGAAGCAACAAGGGCUAAAGCAAGAACGUGAGAGUUUGGAGAAGAAAAGAUGAAGAAGGGUUGAGAGGAAGAACAAGCAGAAUUAGUUGACGAUUUGAGUGUAGUAAAACAAAGAAAUCAGAGUUAUCCUUGCUCGAGUAUGAUUAUGUUCCCAAGCUGGUUGUAUUCGUGGAUUCGAAUCUGCCAUGUCUAGCACGCCAAGUGUUCGACGAUAUUCCACACUUGAAUGUUGUCUCUGCUACAUCGGAAAUAUAAACGGUAAUGUAUAUGUCCUUUGCUUCGAGACAGAACAUGAGUAAUGAUGAUGGUUGGUUUAGUUUCUAGGUCUGGAAUUGAGAAGUUAGAAUGAAAUUGGU
rnacentral:lncRNA from 1 species